UGCCCAGUCGUGGGGGAUAACGUAGAGAAAUUUACGCUAAUACCGCAUACGAUCUAAGGAUGAAAGCGGGGGAUCGCAAGACCUCGCGCGAUUGGAGCGGCUGAUAUCAGAUUAGGUUGUUGGUGAGGUAAAAGCUCACCAAGCCGACGAUCUGUAGCUGGUUUGAGAGAACGACCAGCCACACUGGGACUGAGACACGGCCCAGACUCCUACGGGAGGCAGCAGUGGGGAAUUUUGGACAAUGGGCGAAAGCCUGAUCCAGCAAUGCCGCGUGCAGGAAGAAGGCCUUCGGGUUGUAAACUGCUUUUGUACGGAACGAAAAGGUCUUUUCUAAUAAAGA
rnacentral:rRNA from 1 species